CCUACGGGAGGCAGCAGUGGGGAAUAUUGCACAAUGGGGGAAACCCUGAUGCAGCGACGCCGCGUGAGUGAAGAAGUAAUUCGUUAUGUAAAGCUCUAUCAGCAGGGAAGAAAAUGACGGUACCUGAGUCAGAAGCCCCGGCUAACUACGUGCCAGCAGCCGCGGUAAUACGUAGGGGGCAAGCGUUAUCCGGAUUUACUGGGGGUAAAGGGAGCGUAGACGGCAGGGCAAGUCUGGAGUGAAAGGCGGGGGCUCAACCCCCGGACUGCUCUGGAAACUGUACGGCUGGAGUGCAGGAGAGGUAAGUGGAAUUCCUAGUGUAGCGGUGAAAUGCGUAGAUAUUAGGAGGAACACCAGUGGCGAAGGCGGCUUACUGGACUGUAACUGACGUUGAGGCUCGAAAGCGUGGGGAGCAAACAGGAUUAGAUACCCGAGUAGUC
rnacentral:rRNA from 1 species